AUGAAAACCAAUCCUGAACAUUGGAGCAGAGCUUUUUUCAAACUUGGCUCAUAUUGUGAUUCCGUGGAAAACAAUAUGUGUGAGUCCUUCAACAACUCCAUCAUGAGAGCAAGGUUUUAUCCUGUGAUUACUAGUCAUGAGAUCAUAAGAAAGAAAAUCAUGGCUAGAAUUCAAGAAAAUAGGGCAAAGCCUGAAAAGUGGAGUGGUUCAAUAUGCCCUAAUAUUUUUACAAAGUUGCAG
rnacentral:rRNA from 1 species